GAUGAACGCUGGCGGCGUGCCUAAUACAUGCAAGUCGAGCGAACAGAUGAGGAGCUUGCUCCUCUGACGUUAGCGGCGGACGGGUGAGUAACACGUGGAUAACCUACCUAUAAGACUGGGAUAACUUCGGGAAACCGGAGCUAAUACCGGAUAAUAUAUUGAACCGCAUGGUUCAAUAGUGAAAGACGGUUUUGCUGUCACUUAUAGAUGGAUCCGCGCCGCAUUAGCUAGUUGGUAAGGUAACGGCUUACCAAGGCAACGAUGCGUAGCCGACCUGAGAGGGUGAUCGGCCACACUGGAACUGAGACACGGUCCAGACUCCUACAGGAGGCAGCAGUAGGGAAUCUUCCGCAAUGGGCGAAAGCCUGACGGAGCAACGCCGCGUUAGUGAUGAAGGUCUUCGGAUCGUAAAACUCUGUUAUUAGGGAAGAACAAAUGUGUAAGUAACUAUGCACGUCUUGACGGUACCUAAUCAGAAAGCCACGGCUAACUACGUG
rnacentral:rRNA from 1 species